UACGGAGGAUGCAAGCGUUAUCCGGAUUUAUUGGGCGUAAAGCGUCCGCAGGUGGUUUUUCAAGUCUGCUGUUAAAGCGCGAGGCUUAACUUCGUACAGGCAGUGGAAACUGGAAGACUUGAGUAUGGUAGGGGUAGCGGGAAUUCCCAGUGUAGCGGUGAAAUGCGUAGAUAUUGGGAAGAACACCGGUGGCGAAAGCGCUCUGCUAGGCCGCAACUGACACUGAGGGACGAAAGCUAGGGGAGCGAAUGGG
rnacentral:rRNA from 1 species